CGAACGAAGCACAUACGGCGGAACUUUUCGGAGGGAAGAUGUAUGUGACUGAGUGGCGGACGGGUGAGUAACGCGUGGGUAACCUGCCCCAUAGAGGGGGACAACAGUUGGAAACGACUGCUAAUACCGCAUAAGAAAGAAUUGCCGCAUGGCAGUUUUUUGAAAGAUUUAUCGCUAUGGGAUGGACCCGCGUCUGAUUAGCUAGUUGGGAGGGUAACGGCCUACCAAGGCAACGAUCAGUAGCCGGCUUGAGAGAGUGAACGGCCACAUUGGGACUGAGACACGGCCCAGACUCCUACGGGAGGCAGCAGUGGGGAAAUAUUGCACAAUGGGGGAAA
rnacentral:rRNA from 1 species